GUGAAGUAGACAAAGAGGCCCGUGGUGGAGGCGAUUUGCAGGGCCAGGAUGCCCAUCGCGGCCACGGCCAGCCAGACCGGGCUGCAGCGCUUCUUCCGACGGCGCUUCUCGGCCCGUCGCUCGUCGCCCAGCAUGUGGGCGGCGGAGUCGCUGCUGUCUGAUCGGAAGUACGGCUGGCUGGGGGCUGGUUCGGCCAUCCUGGCGGCAUCCAGAGCGACCGAGAGCCGCUCCGCUUCUCCUCUGGCAGCAGCCUCUCCUCUCCAGGGAUAGGAGGAGAUUCCGACUGUGAUUCGGACCCGCCCCCGUGGGCUGGCCAGACGAGGUUCAAACCCACCAGCCCGCCGGAUAAACAAAGAAGGCAGCCCAGCCACGUGGAGGAGGAGGAGGAGGAGGCGUUGCUCAGCCUAUUUACCCUCCCCCAGAAAGACUGAUCCCAGGGAGCAGACUCUCUUCGGGAUCGCUGCCUUCUGUCCACGAUUCUCUGCCAAGAGAAAGGACCAUUUGCUCCCCCGUCAAGUCACAGCCGACUUAUGGCGGCCCGUAGGGGUUUCAAGCAGGCGAUUUCUCUACAUCUGCAAGCAGUUUCCUGGAGUGGCCCAUGGCAAAUCUGUGACUCAUGGCCAGGACAACCUCUUUGAACAGGAGGUUUGGCAAAAGAGAAAGGUGACACAUGGAACUCAGUACAGAUAGAAUACAGCCGAAAAUCUUCCAUGGCCCUCCAUCACAUGGAAAAAUCAUUAAAGACAUUCACAAACAGCAAAUGAGGAAAAGGGUGGAGUGUCUGCAGAUUGGGUCAGUCUCAGGAUGGUAAAGAGUUAAUGACAGUUGUUUUAGUGAACAUGAAAAAUGAAGGGAAUCCAAAGAAUACUGCCUGAUUGAGGCCAUUCAAUGUAAACAUUUGUUAGAUCAUCAAAACAAGGUCUUUCAAUAUGCAAGGUUGCCAAGAAAUUGAAAAAACAAGACUGAAGGAAAGACACAGUAAAGAUAAAGACGGAGCCUUUCUGAAAGCAUUUGAAACAGCUGUGCAUAAAAUCAUGUCAAAUCUCCUAUCCACGUCUUGUGGGUUGCAAAUAUCACUCCCAGCUGGUAUUUGCAAAGUGGGCACUUUUUUUUGUUUCCUGGAAAAGAUUGCAAAUCUUGCUCUGACUUUCACUCAAAAUGCAGUCAUAAGAUCAGAAUACAAGGAUAGCCAUACCUCAUCAGACCUGUGGUCCAUCUAGCCCAGGAUCCAGUUUCCAAUAGUGGCCACAGGGAUGCCCACAAGGGCUCACAGACAACAGGCUUCACCUACGGACUGCCCUCAGUAUCCGAUAAUCAGAGGC